AGACCAGUAAAGACCAGUUCCCCUCAGACAGACCAGACAGUAAAGACCAGUACCCCUCAGACAGACCAGACAGUAAAGACCAGUACCCCUCAGACAGACCAGACAGUAAAGACCAGUUCCCCUCAGACAGUAAAGACCAGUACCCCUCAGACAGACCAGACAGUAAAGACCAGUACCCCUCAGACAGACCAGACAGUAAAGACCAGUUCCCCACAGACAGUAAAGACCAGUACCCCUCAGACAGACCAGCCAGUAAAGACCAGUACCCCUCAGACAGUAAAGACCAGUACCCCUCAGACAGACCAGACAGUAAAGACCAGUACCCCUCAGACAGUAAAGACCAGUACCCCUCAGACAGUAAAGACCAGUACCCCUCAGACAGACCAGACAGUAAAGACCAGUACCCCUCAGACAGUAAAGACCAGUACCCCUCAGACAGACCAGACAGUAAAGACCAGUACCCCUCAGACAGACCAGACAGUAAAGACCAGUUCCCCACAGACAGUAAAGACCAGUACCCCUCAGACAGACCAGACAGUAAAGACCAGUACCCCUCAGACAGUAAAGACCAGUACCCCUCAGACAGACCAGACAGUAAAGACCAGUACCCCUCAGACAGUAAAGACCAGUACCCCUCAGACAGUAAAGACCAGUACCCCUCAGACAGACCAGACAGUAAAGACCAGUACCCCUCAGACAGACCAGACAGUAAAGACCAGUUCCCCACAGACAGUAAAGACCAGUACCCCUCAGACAGACCAGACAGUAAAGACCAGUACCCCUCAGACAGUAAAGACCAGUACCCCUCAGACAGACCAGACAGUAAAGACCAGUACCCCUCAGACAGUAAAGACCAGUACCCCUCAGACAGUAAAGACCAGUACCCGUCAGACAGACCAGACAGUAAAGACCAGUACCCCUCAGACAGACCCGACAGUAAAGACCAGUACCCCUCAGACAGACCAGACAGUAAAGACCAGUACCCCUCAGACAGACCAGACAGUAAAGACCAGUACCCCUGAGACAGACCAGACAGUAAAGACCAGUACCCCUCAGACAGUAAAGACCAGUACCCCUCAGACAGUAAAGACCAGUACCCCUCAGACAGACCAGACAGUAAAGACCAGUACCCCUCAGACAGACCAGACAGUAAAGACCAGUACCCGUCAGACAGACCAGACAGUAAAGACCAGUACCCCUCAGACAGACCAGACAGUAAAGACCAGUACCCCUCAGACAGACCAGACCAGACAGUAA
rnacentral:lncRNA from 1 species